AGUUUACCAUAGCUUCUGUUGCUGGCAGUUGACUGAUAGCUCUCUUGCUUACUGAUGGCUUAUUUGGAAGAAUAGAUCAAAGCAAAGCAAACAAUAGGGAAAAAUGGAAUUCAAUGAAUGAGGGAAUUGCUCUCUACAAAAAUUGAAGUGUCUUAUAGGAAUACAGAGAGUACACCUCUAGAGUUGACAGGCUUCUCGCUUUACACUUGAACAAAACAGUCCAUCUCAGACUACUAUACUUAAGCACUCCAUACAGCAGUUUCCUGUUCUUGGAAGUAUCCUGAAAUUGGAAAGUGUACUGGGAAAUAAAGUGUCAGUCAUCUGGAAUAAUUUCUGCUUCCUACUGGAGAGCCUUUAUCUUUUACUUCUGGUCAAUCCUUAAGGGCGAAUAUGUUAAAAAUGGAUAUUGCAAACUACCCACUUAAUAUCUAGACAGCAUAUAACAUUCAUUAUCGCAAAAAUGAUAACAACAGAGACACAGGACAGUAGAAAGAGAAUGAAAAAUAUUGAAAGCCAAUAUAUAAUAAACAGGCAGCUUAAAUUUAUUUAA